rnacentral:rRNA from 1 species
GUGCCAGCAGCCGCGGUAAUACGGAGGGUGCAAGCGUUGUUCGGAAUUACUGGGCGUAAAGCGCGUGUAGGUGGUCGAGUAAGUCGAAUGUGAAAGCCCCGGGCUCAACCCGGGAAGUGCAUCCGAAACUGCUCGACUAGAGUCCCGGAGAGGAAGGCAGAAUUCCCAAUGUAGGGGUGAAAUCCGUAGAUAUUGGGAGGAAUACCGGUGGCGAAGGCGGCCUUCUGGACGGUGACUGACACUCAGACGCGAAAGCGUGGGGAGCAAACAGGAUUAGAAACCCUCGUAGUCC